AACGCACAUUGCGCCCUGUGGUAUUCCACAGGGCAUGCCUGUUUGAGCGUCAUUUCUCCCUCAAACCUCUGGUUUGGCGUUGAGUGAUACUCGGUUUACUUGAAAAGAAUGAAAAGCAUAACUAUUAGGUUUUACCAACUCGUUAUACUAAUCUACAAGUUUGACCUCAAAUCAGGUAGGACUACCCGCUGAACUUAA
rnacentral:misc_RNA from 1 species